GAAAGGCAGUAGGGCAAGGCAUAAUCCAACUUGCUUUUCUUACUGGGACACAGUCGUUUUCCUUGGAUAAAUGCUUCCACAGAUUGCUUCCAGCCUCUGGCUAAUUUCUAGAGCUCUGAAAAGGUUCAGAAAGUUGGGUUAAGAGCUGGCCCAUGCACCAACCCUGAGCGCCCUGUCUGAUGCAUUGAACCUGGACUGGAGAUCUAUUUCAUGGAUGGUUAGCAUACAGCAUCCACAUGGCCUAAUGAAAGUCAGAACAAUCCUAUGUGAAAUGGAACUAGACUGGUUCCUCUGCUCCCCUAAGUGACCCCUUGAAGCUGUUUAGAGAAGAUGAAGGAAUAAUUUUAAUUAACCAAAGAGCAAUUGCAAAGGCACAUUUCCCACUGCCUGCCAGAAACUGUCAUAGCUAAACUUUGCCAGGAUUUAUUUCAUGCAAACAAGACUGAA